GUCCCGCCGCAAAGGGCGCAGCUGCGCGGGGCUUUGCGGCCAUUUAAAUGCCAAGGCCCCGCCCCCUCCCAGCUGGCGAGGCGGGGCUCGGCUCCCAUUGGUCGGGGGCGGGGUACAAAGCCGGAAGCGGCCCACGCGCGAGUGGCGGAGGUUGCCGCAGCAUCCGGAGCUAAGGACCCGGAGUGAGCGGAGCGUGUCGAGCGGCCGCUCUCCGGUUACCCGGCCUUGGGCUCCCUCCGGGGCGGCCGGUCCUGCCAGGGAGACGCGGAACGUGACUUUGAUUUCACUGCGAUACUUGAGCAAGUAAACACAUGCUAAAGGAUGGCACAUGUGCUGAAAUGUUGAAGUCAAAGGAACUAAACAGAAACUGAAAUUGUAUGUUCUUACCUUGUUUUGCUCAGAUGUGUACUGUAUUUUUAGAGUAUCCAUAGCUCUGAUCAUCGCUUGUAUGGCAGUAAAUAUGUUUUGAUAAACCAGUUUUGUGAAGCUUUUCCUAUCUUCAUCUGUGUAACCUGACCCAUGAAUAAUCCUCAUCUGUUUAAUAAAGGUGCUUUUUCCACUU